UACGUAGGGGGCAAGCGUUGUCCGGAUUUAUUGGGCGUAAAGAGCGUGUAGGCGGCUUUACAGGUCCGUUGUGAAAACUCGAGGCUCAACCUCGAGACGCCGGUGGAAACCGUAAAGCUAGAGUCCGGAAGAGGAGAGUGGAAUUCCUGGUGUAGCGGUGAAAUGCGCAGAUAUCAGGAAGGACACCCGUGGCGAAGGCGGCUCUCUGGGACGGUACUGACGCUGAGACGCGAAAGCGUGGGGAGCAAACAGG
rnacentral:rRNA from 1 species